GAGGAGGGGGCUGUGUCCUCCCAGCUGGAGGCUUCCAAGUCAAGAGAGGGAGGCCUUCCUCCUCCAGCCCCACCUCCUGUGCCCACAGAACCUGAAGCCCUCCCUUAGAAAUGACCAAGAGGAGGGCCUGGGGGAGGUGCUUGCAGGCUGGACAUGGGGGUGGGUCUUGCCUGGGACCACUGACCUAGUGGUUUGCCCAAAGGAGGUCCUGGGAGCUGAUCAAGAGGAGUUUCUGGAGAGUGAGGGAAGGGACAAUUGAGUGGAGGCCCUAAGGGACCUGGGCUGCUCCACAUGGGAAGCCUGGGGUGGCCAGGAGGCUGAGGGUGGGAGGCUUUCAGGAGAGGGCGUGUGCGGCACCUGAGAGCAGGGGCUCAUCCCACCCUCACCCUGUUUGUCCAGUGUGUUCCCUUCCUGGGAGAAUACCUCAAAGAUCUGAAGGUGAUGGACACCAGGAUAGAGGAUGAUCUGGAGGUGAAUAAAGUACUGGAGUAGAUAGUGGUUCUGCAUGAGGCUGCCCAGAAAUACAAAAUAGAGCCUGAGGAGCAAUUCCAGGCCUGGUUCUGGGCCCUGGAGCAGCUCAGCAAGAAUGAGAGUUACAUCCGGUCCUGCCAGCUGGAGCCACAGUCCUAGGUGGCCAGGGGAAAAACUCAUAAAAUCAAGUCAAUGAAUGAUUGACUGCAGAUGUGGAAAUUAUUCUCAACAUAAUGUCUAUUUUUUAGAUUAAGAAAUAACUAUACAAAUAUUUGUAUUUAUCCUUUCAGAUAUCCUCAUAAUACAUGUAAAUAUACACUUAC